rnacentral:rRNA from 1 species
AGUGAACGCUGGCGGUAGGCCUAACACAUGCAAGUCGAACGGCAGCACAGGAGAGCUUGCUCUCUGGGUGGCGAGUGGCGGACGGGUGAGGAAUACAUCGGAAUCUACUCUGUCGUGGGGGAUAACGUAGGGAAACUUACGCUAAUACCGCAUACGACCUACGGGUGAAAGCAGGGGACCUUCGGGCCUUGCGCGAUUGAAUGACCCGAUGUCGGAUUAGCUAGUUGGCGGGGUAAAGGCCCACCAAGGCGACGAUCCGUGGCUGGUCUGAGAGGAUGAUCAGCCACAAUGGAACUGAGACACGGUCCAGACUCCUACGGAGGCAGCAGUGGGGAAUAUUGGACAAUGGGCGCAAGCCUGAUCCAGCCAUACCGCGUGGGUGAAGAAGGCCUUCGGGUUGUAAAGCCCUUUUGUUGGGAAAGAAAUCCAGCUGGCUAAUACCCGGUUGGGAUGACGGUACCCAAAGAAUAAGCACCGGCUAACUUCGUGCCAGCCGCCGCCGUAA